rnacentral:rRNA from 2 species
AAGGAUCAUUAUCGAAUCGUAGGCGAGGGUUGUCGCUGGCCUCUCGGGGCAUGUGCACGCCCGAGCCCUUGAAUCCCAAACACACAUGUGAACCCACCGUAGGCCUUCGGGCCUAUGUCUUAUCAUUAUAAUCCGAANGUCUAAUAGAAUGUAAACCCAUUUCGUUGCCUUGAAAACGUAACGAAAGAAAACUAUACAACUUUCAACAACGGAUCUCUUGGCUCUCGCAUCGAUGAAGAACGCAGCGAAAUGCGAUAAGUAAUGUGAAUUGCAGAUUUUCAGUGAAUCAUCGAAUCUUUGAACGCACCUUGCGCCCCUUGGUAUUCCGAGGGGCAUGCCUGUUUGAGUGUCAUUAAAUCCUCAACCCCUCCGAUUCGUUUCGGUGGGGAUUGGACUUGGAGCGUGCUGGCGAAGGUCGGCUCCUCUUUAAAUGCAUCAGCGGAGAAAAUGCCUUUUGCGCCUCUGGCCGUUCAGCGUGAUAAUGACGUUGCGCUGCGGUCGAGCUUAAGGUCCGCUUCCAAAGGUCCUCGGACGAAUAUACAUAUGACUUUUGACCUCAAAUCAGGUAGGACUACCCGCUGAACUUAA